GCACUGCUGAGGAGUCCCAUACUAGGACGAGACAGUCGUCCAGUGC
rfam:Schistosoma curassoni strain Dakar, Senegal genome assembly, scaffold: SCTD_scaffold0003152